rnacentral:rRNA from 1 species
UACGAGGGGGGCAAAUGUUGUUCGGAAUCACUGGGCGUAAAGGGUGCGUAGGCGGGUCUUUAAGUCAGGGGUGAAAUCCUGGAGCUCAACUCCAGAACUGCCUUUGAUACUGAGGAUCUUGAGUUCGGGAGAGGUGAGUGGAACUGCGAGUGUAGAGGUGAAAUUCGUAGAUAUUCGCAAGAACACCAGUGGCGAAGGCGGCUCACUGGCCCGAUACUGACGCUGAGGCACGAAAGCGUGGGGAGCAAACAGG